CUACGGAGGGGGUUAGCGUUGUUCGGAAUUACUGGGCGUAAAGCGUACGUAGGCGGACUGGAAAGUUGGGGGUGAAAUCCCGGGGCUCAACCCCGGAACUGCCUCCAAAACUUCCAAUCUAGAGAUCGAGAGAGGUGAGUGGAAUUCCAAGUGUAGAGGUGAAAUUCGUAGAUAUUUGGAGGAACACCAGUGGCGAAGGCGGCUCACUGGCUCGAUUCUGACGCUGAGGUACGAAAGCGUGGGGAGCAAACAGGAUUAGAAACCCUAGUAGUCC
rnacentral:rRNA from 1 species